AGUGAACGCUGGCGGUAGGCCUAACACAUGCCAGUCGAACGGCAGCACAGUAAGAGCUUGCUCUUACGGGUCGCGAGUGGCGGACGGGUGAGGAAUACAUCGGAAUCUACUUUUUCGUGGGGGAUAACGUAGGGAAACUUACGCUAAUACCGCAUACGACCUACGGGUGAAAGCAGGGGAUCUUCGGACCUUGCGCGAUUGAAUGAGCCGAUGUCGGAUUAGCUAGUUGGCGGGGUAAAGGCCCACCAAGGCGACGAUCCGUAGCUGGUCUGAGAGGAUGAUCAGCCACACUGGAACUGAGACACGGUCCAGACUCCUACGGGAGGCAGCAGUGGGGAAUAUUGGACAAUGGGCGCAAGCCUGAUCCAGCCAUACCGCGUGGGUGAAAAAGGCCUUCGGGUUGUAAAGCCCUUUUGUUGGGAAAGAAAAGCAGCAGGUUAAUACCCCGCUGUUCUGACGGUACCCAAAGAAUAAGCACCGGCUAACUUCGUG
rnacentral:rRNA from 1 species